rfam:Populus trichocarpa scaffold_1227_contig_1, whole genome shotgun sequence.
CAUUUUGUUUGGGGCAAAUCAUCAUCUAUUUAUGGCAGACCCGACAUGACUACUAAGAAUCAUCCAUUAUCAUAAGCUCACAUCAAUUCAUAUGUAAUAGGUGACCACAUUUGGUAA